GACGAACCGUGCGAACGUUAUUCGGAAUCACUGGGCGUAAAGAGCGCGCAGGCGGUCGUGCAAGUCGCGUGUGAAAGCCCCCGGCUCAACUGGGGAGGGUCACGCGAUACUGCUCGACUUGAAGGCAGGAGAGGGAAGUGGAAUUCCCGGUGUAGUGGUGAAAUGCGUAGAUAUCGGGAGGAACACCAGUGGCGAAGGCGACUUCCUGGCCUGUUCUUGACGCUGAGGCGCGAAAGCUAGGGUAGCAAACGGG
rnacentral:rRNA from 1 species